UACAGAGGGUGCGAGCGUUAAUCGGACUUACUGGGCGUAAAGGGUGCGUAGGCGGGAGAUUAAGUUAGUUGUGAAAGGCCUGGGCUUAACCUCGUGGCUUGCGGUGGAUACGGGCAGACUAGAGGUAGGUAGGGGAGAACGGAAUUCCCGGUGUAGCGGUGAAAUGCGCAGAUAUCGGGAGGAACACCGGUGGCGAAGGCGGUUCUCUGGACAGUUCCUGACACUGAGACACGAAGGCCAGGGGAGCAAACGGG
rnacentral:rRNA from 1 species